rnacentral:rRNA from 1 species
GAGGAUGCGAGCGUUAUCCGGAUUUAUUGGGUUUAAAGGGUGCGUAGGCGGACUGAUAAGUCCGCGGUAAAAUUGCGGGGCUCAACCCCGCCGAGCCGUUGAAACUGUCGGUCUUGAGUGAGCGAGAAGUAUGCGGAAUGCGUGGUGUAGCGGUGAAAUGCAUAGAUAUCACGCAGAACCCCGAUUGCGAAGGCAGCAUACCGGCGCUCAACUGACGCUGAGGCACGAAAGUGCGGGGAUCAAA